UGAACGCGCUUCAUUGCGCGCUCAUGUGUAUCACCUUCACUCGCGCAGCGUGUGCGGAGUCUCAUACCUGUGCGCCAUGUUUGGGCAGUUUGGAUGCAAACAAAACAAUGGAUUAUUUACCAAGAUAUAUGGAUGUAUGAACUCAUUUCGAUAAAACACUUCUGGUCUACUCUAGAGUUUUUACUCUGCAGAAAACUGACGAGCAACCCAACCCACCAACAGACGAGGAAGAUGAGGAUGAUAAUCACAGUGGUCCAGCAUAUACAAAGAGAAAGAUGCUAAAUAUAAAGACUAUACAGAUGCUCAUCUCUGCCAAAACUCACGUGACUACAACACAAACACAGCAUCAUAGUUCAUCACUUUACUUGUAACCAACAGAAGCUGAAGGAAUGGCAGACAUUACUCAGACACCUGUGAACACUGAGCAGUGGUUGGAGUCCAAGACAGUGAAAUCAUCUUUAUUAUACUUCUGACUGAACUAGCAAGUUGCUUUGGGGACAAUGAGAAAAACUCAAAAGAAGAUACUUUGAAGAAUGCUGGUAAUCAAACCCAACAAGUUUGUCAGCUAUGGACAGUAUGAAGGGGACAAAAUGAUUUCCAUAUUUUGGGUGCAGAAAUAAAAGCUCCCAAACAAAGAUGUCACCGGAUUAAGAAGUGAAAAGACAUGUUGCACCACAACAACCAUAAAUCCUGAGUAAUUUGAAUAUGGGCAACAACCGAGGAAAAGUACCCACUGUUUUAGUCAGAAAUGAUUCAUGGUAAUAGUAAUAGUAAAUGAUUAGAUAAAUAAAUAAAAAGUAC